rnacentral:rRNA from 1 species
AGCUUGUUCUUGUAUUUAGUUGCGGACGGGUGAGUAAGGUAUACGGAGCUGCCCUGUCUAGGGGGAUGCCAUUUGGAAACGACUGUUAAUACCGCACAAUGUCUACUGACCUCUUUGUGGGACCUUCAGGCCACAUGCUUUCGGAUGCACCUAUAUGGGAUUACCUAGUUGGUGGGGUAAUGGCUCAGCGGUGCGACCAUCCCUAGGUGGUUUGAGAGGAUGAUCAUCCACGGGGGAACUGACACACGGUCCAUACUCCUACGGGAAGACUCAUUGGGGAAUAUUGGACAAUGGAUCCACCCCUGAUCCAGACAUUCCGCGUGUGUGAAGAAGGCCUUCUGGUUGUAGAUCACUUUCCGCAAAGAUGAAGGGUGUUGUGAUAAUAGCACAGCAUUUUGACGUUUCUCCCUUAAGAAUCCCCGGCUAACUCCGUGCCACUAACCGCGGUAAUACGGACGGUGCAAUAGUUAAUCGGAAUUACUGGGCGUAAAUUACACGUAGGCGGUGUGUUAAGUUGGAUGUGAAAGCCCCGAUGUCAACCUGGGAAUUGCAUUCGAAACUGGCACGCUAAAACAUGUGAAAUGGGGGUAGAAUUACAAGUGUAG